UAAUACAGAGGGUGCGAGCGUUGUUCGGAAUUACUGGGCGUAAAGCGCGCGCAGGCGGCUCUUUAAGUCUGACGGUCAAAGGCCGGGGCUCAACCCCGUGCUCGCCGGAGAUACUGGAGAGCUGGAGACAGGUAGAGGCAGGCGGAAUUCCGGGUGUAGCGGUGGAAUGCGUAGAGAUCCGGAAGAACACCAGAGGCGAAGCGGCCUGCUGGGCCUUGUCUGACGCUGAGGCGCGAAAGCGUGGGGAGCGAACAGGA
rnacentral:rRNA from 1 species